rnacentral:rRNA from 1 species
AGUGAACGCUGGCGGUAGGCCUAACACAUGCAAGUCGAACGGCAGCACAGUAAGAGCUUGCUCUUACGGGUGGCGAGUGGCGGACGGGUGAGGAAUACAUCGGAAUCUACUUUUUCGUGGGGGAUAACGUAGGGAAACUUACGCUAAUACCGCAUACGACCUACGGGUGAAAGCAGGGGAUCUUCGGACCUUGCGCGAUUGAAUGAGCCGAUGUCGGAUUAGCUAGUUGGCGGGGUAAAGGCCCACCAAGGCGACGAUCCGUAGCUGGUCUGAGAGGAUGAUAAGAGACACUGGAAAUGAGACACGGUCAAGAAUCCUACGAGAGACAGAAGUGGGGAAUAUUGGACAAUGGGCGCAAGCCUGAUCCAGCCAUACCGCGUGGGUGAAGAAGGCCUUCGGGUUGUAAAGCCCUUUUGUUGGGAAAGAAAAGCAGCAGGUUAAUACCCCGCUGUUCUGACGGUACCCAAAGAAUAAGCACCGGCUAACUUCGUG